UUGUUGAUUGUGGCUCCUGCCUUGUUUUGCUGUAAAAAAAAAAAAAAAAUGCUGCUCAACCAGAAAACUGUGUCGGUUUAGGCCCAUUUAGCGCAUUCGACAAGCCACUCACAGAAAUUGUUUAGUUUUUCUUUAUUUUUUUGGCGAAUGAAUUGUGAAAAUAUUGCCGUUGCUGCCCCACCCUUGCAUAAGAAGUUGCUGUAAACAAUGCUGAUGUUGCUGCAGUUAUUUUCGUUUUGUCAUGAUUUUAUUCGCACGAGGAAUCUAGCACGUUGCAAGUAGUAUUUAAGUAGAAGAAAGUGCCACACACACAUAUAGUCGCGCCACAGGCUAGUGUGUGGCACGAUGCACCUGUCCACUUAACACCUGCCCCGAUACACGCCAUUAAAAAAAUAAGAAAAAUAAUCUGAGAUCUGAACGCUCCCGAACGGCGAUGCAAGGAUCUACACACACUAGACUGGACUGGUGCUUGGAACCAUCUCCAAGGAUCAGUCGCCAUGUAGACUAGAAGGAACCGUCCUCGACCACGAACACGUUCUGAACGCAAAGGCUGGCAUCCACCACCCACUUAUAUCUAUAACCUUGGAUGACAGUCUUUUUUUUUUGUGAUUCCACGCAAUUAGAAGAAAAAUAAGAAGCUUCAAUCAACUCCUCAAAGGACAAAGACACACUCACACACACACAUUGACACACUCCUCGAUAGAAGAACGACUUGUUGGAGACUCGCACACUGCAAGGACUUACUGCACUCUCAACACUGAUGAUAACCUGAUGUAAUUGUACUGGAGAAUCGAUGAAUAAUUCCCUUUCUAUCCCCCCCCACCUUAACGACCGUUUCAAGAAAAUGAUUU
rnacentral:sRNA from 1 species